ensembl:lncRNA
GCGUGAUUGACUAGCCAAUGGAUGGUAAUUAUCCAAAUGUCCCCUCUGUCCUUUGACUGACUUCUCCGUAUUAUGGGCAACUGUCAUGCAUUCUGUCAUUCCAUAUCAUAUUACAUGUAUUAUCAUAUGAAGUCUGCCCCCCUACCCCCGCAUAUAAAGGAGGGAGCCUCUGCCCAGAUGCUGCUGCUUUUAGAAGGAAGGGCCCCGAGAAAUUUGUUCUGGGCACGAUUCGGAAUACAGAGCAGGGGACUCCAGAAAUGGGAGGUUCUGCAGAUACACUUAGUGCCCCUUGGUGCAAUUGUGCAUGCCAUCACUUAAGAGGGAGGCAGGAUUUAUAACAAGGAGGCUUUGCAGAUGGAGACUCUGGGGUCCUCUGAAUCUGUGGGCAGGACUAGC